CGUGUAGGUAUGUAUGGCUGGAUCAUUUCAGUGAGUUCCUUCAGAACAGUCCUACCUGAAAGACUGCAGACCUGUGCUACUCGCCUUGGGCAUCACAUUUCAGAUGGAAAUCCAGACUCAACAGAACAGGCAACAUUC